rnacentral:rRNA from 1 species
GCCGAACGCUGGCGGCGUGCUUAACACAUGCAAGUCGAACGAAGAGCGAUGGAAGCUUGCUUCUAUCAAUCUUAGUGGCGAACGGGUGAGUAACGCGUAAUCAACCUGCCCUUCAGAGGGGGACAACAGUUGGAAACGACUGCUAAUACCGCAUACGAUCUAAUCUCGGCAUCGAGGAUAGAUGAAAGGUGGCCUCUACAUGUAAGCUAUCACUGAAGGAGGGGAUUGCGUCUGAUUAGCUAGUUGGAGGGGUAACGGCCCACCAAGGCGAUGAUCAGUAGCCGGUCUGAGAGGAUGAACGGCCACAUUGGGACUGAGACACGGCCCAGACUCCUACGGGAGGCAGCAGUGGGGAAUCUUCCGCAAUGGACGAAAGUCUGACGGAGCAACGCCGCGUGAGUGAUGACGGCCUUCGGGUUGUAAAGCUCUGUUAAUCGGGACGAAAGGCCUUCUUGCGAAUAGUGAGAAGGAUUGACGGUACCGGAAUAGAAAGCCACGGCUAACUACGUG